rnacentral:tRNA from 1 species
UAUUAAUCACUAUUUUGGCAGAUUAGUGCAAUAAAUUUAGAAUUUAUUUAUGUAAUUUAAAUUACAAAUAGUA